rnacentral:rRNA from 1 species
GACGAACGCUGGCGGCGUGCCUAAUACAUGCAAGUAGAACGCUGAAGGAGGAGCUUGCUUCUCUGGAUGAGUUGCGCACGGGUGAGUAACGCGUAGGUAACCUGCCUGGUAGCGGGGGAUAACUAUUGGAAACGAUAGCUAAUACCGCAUAAUAGUAGAUGUUGCAUGACAUUUACUUAAAAGGUGCAAUUGCAUCACUACCAGAUGGACCUGCGUUGUAUUAGCUAGUUGGUGGGGUAACGGCUCACCAAGGCGACGAUACAUAGCCGACCUGAGAGGGUGAUCGGCCACACUGGGACUGAGACACGGCCCAGACUCCUACGGGAGGCAGCAGUAGGGAAUCUUCGGCAAUGGACGAAAGUCUGACCGAGCAACGCCGCGUGAGUGAAGAAGGUUUUCGGAUCGUAAAGCUCUGUUGUAAGAGAAGAACGAGUGUGAGAGUGGAAAGUUCACACUGUGACGGUAUCUUACCAGAAAGGGACGGCUAACUACGUG